AUACGGAGGGGGUUAGCGUUGUUCGGAAUUACUGGGCGUAAAGCGCACGUAGGCGGAUUGGAAAGUUGGGGGUGAAAUCCCAGGGCUCAACCCUGGAACUGCCUCCAAAACUAACAGUCUAGAGUUCGAGAGAGGUGAGUGGAAUUCCAAGUGUAGAGGUGAAAUUCGUAGAUAUUUGGAGGAACACCAGUGGCGAAGGCGGUUCACUGGCUCGAUACUGACGCUGAGGUGCGAGAGCGUGGGGAGCAAACAGGAUUAGAAACCCUAGUAGUCC
rnacentral:rRNA from 1 species